ensembl:lncRNA
AAUGUUCACUGAGGGAAGCCUUUUUUUCAUUAGCAUACCAGCUGAAUCUUCACUGGUGCUGGUUUGGUUCAGCAGUUUCCAAACCUGUGUGAGCUAAUGGAGGGGCAAAACAGGAUGGUUGUGCUGGGUCAGUCAUCUCAGGAAAAAUUGUUCUGGGAAUACAGGGGUGUUUUGAGAGGUUGAGACUGAGGAAGAUUGCCCUUGGCUGGUCCAGCCGAGGCCUUGCCCUGGCUGAAAGGCACAGUGCUGCUCUCCACCACUCAGCCCCAGCACGGUUGCAGUUGUUGGGCUGAAGUGAAAGACAUCAGACUUGCCAACAGAGAGACUUCAACCAGGAUCCUCAGCAUCCCCGAUGGAUGGUGUGCCUGCAGAACUGCUGGCUGGUGUAUGAAAAUCUUUAGAAAGCAGCUAGAACCAUCCUUGUUUCCAGAGGACCUUCAACCCGCAGUGAAAGGGAGGUGCUGUUACAGUGUAUGGUGCGUAGAAAAAGAAGUCAUUUGAUAAAAGCAAAAAAUUGUGCCACUAACAAAUGAAACAUCACCUUAAGAACUGUCUCAUCUCUCCAGCACAUUAUCUCCUUUUCUACAUGCCUUGGGCACCCUUGAAUGAAGAGAAUCUCAGGUAGACAUAGGGCACCAUUUGGUGUGCUGCUGCCAACACAUGGAAAGUGCACGAUCCAGCACCUGCAAAGUCUGGGAAAGAGCAUGGCAUGGGUAUUGCUCUUAUGAAGAGCAGAUGCACUGCGUUUUUUAUAUGAGCGGUGUGCCUAAUCAUGACUAGAGUACAGUACUUAGGUUAACAAUAUAAACUAGACCCUGAGAAAUACAGCUAUUGUGAUCUUUUCAUUAUUUAUCCAUUUUAAUCUCUCUCUAUUAGGAGACUGUGUAUAAUUUUUUACUUCUGCAAUAAAUUAU